rnacentral:rRNA from 1 species
UUUCCUGCCACCGAAUACAUUAGCAUGGGAUAAUGGAAUAGGACCCUGACCUCCUAUUUUCAGUUGGUUUUGUUUACAGCGAGGUUAUAUCAGGGUAAUGAUUAAUAGGGAUAGUUGGGGGCAUUAAUAUUUAAUUGUCAGAGGUGAAAUUCUUGGAUUUAUGAAAGAUUAACUUCUGCGAAAGCGUUUGCCAAGGAUGUUUUCAUUAAUCAAGAACGAAAGUUAGGGGAUCGAAGACGAUCAGAUACCGUCGUAGUCUUAACCAUAAACGAUGCCGACCAGCGAUUAGGAGACGUUGAAUACAAAACACCGCCGUUAAUCCUUUCGGGGGUUAAUGGUUGGUGAAUGACUCCCUA